rfam:Schistosoma haematobium scaffold331_15, whole genome shotgun sequence.
GCACUGCUGAGGAGGAGUCCAACAAUAGGACGAAACGGCUGUCCAGUGC